GUGCCGGGAACGGGAAAAUCCCCUUUCUCGGGCAGCAGCGCCGGGAGCCAGCGGGUGGUGCCUUCAGGUGCGUGGCCGGCGGGGACAGAGGUGCGCUGGGGUCACCUGCGUGUGGUGGCACCCGCAGGGGGACGUGUGUGCUUUUGGCACUGGUACGUGGGAAAAACUGCUGUGUGGGACGAGUUUGUCCCGGGACUUGAGGCUCUCUGGGGUCGUGUUUCAUGGAAUAAAACUGUGCCGCCUUCCCAGCUGCGGUGACAACGUUUUAUGGGAUGGGCUGAGCUCCCUUUCCCGGGAGGCAGCGGGAUGGGUGUCCCUGUGCCCACCUCGCCCCGGGUCCCAGCGAGAAGCUGCUCCUGUGGCCGAGGGUCGGCGGGGAAAACUGAACAUUCCUGAUGGAAACCGAUGGAAAAACAAGUUUGGUUUGGUUUUGGACUUGGCAUUUUCCCCCUGACCCCCACCUGAUCCGAGUGUUCUGCCUUAGGGAACAGGAGACAGAAGGGAGAAUGGGGGAAAAGAUAAUUCGUUACCCCAAAAGGGACGAGCUUAUUUCUACUUAUUUCCUGAAACACCUGGAAUGAUUUGGGCUCGGGAGGCACCUGGGAGCCUCCUUCUGAGUCCUGGGUGGAGCCGUGGUUAUAAAAGGGGUGAAGGAAGGAGGGAGGGGGGGCUCGGGGGGGAGAGGAGCACUGGCUGGGCUCAAUGGUGCCUUGGGGAUUUGCAUCUGGAACCGGCCAUCAGUUUCCUGAUGGGAAUCCUGGAAACAGAACUCCGUGAGAAAUGGGAAAACUGCAGCUGGAGUGCUGGGAGUGGAGAGUCUGCAGUGAACGCCUGGUGAGUCUCCUGAUGCCCCGUAUCUAAUGCUGUGCUGGCACCAGGUCAGCUCAUUCCGAUUUAAACUCUCUUGAAAUACGCUUAAAUUACAAAUUGGGCUACAAAAUGCAAGUGGGAAGCUUCGUGUUCCCAAGGGAAUUCUCUGGGGAUGGGCAGCUUGUGAGCUGCACAAAUAAUUCCUGCUCCCACAGAAACCUGCUGGCCCGUGGAUCCAGGGCAGAGUGGCAGAAAAGUGGCAGCUUGAGUGCCACCCUGAUAGUGAUUUUCCUUGGGGCUCUCAGGACCGGGGGGAAAUGGUGUUCACGGGAAAGCACGGAGCAGGAUGAGUGCUGCAGCUGUGCCUUUCCUGCUCUCUGCUGUUCCAGGGAUGCCCUGGAGGGCUCUGGCUCGGCAGGGUCUGUGUGUAAGAGCUUCCCUGCCUGCGCGCAGCUGGGUCAGUCACUGGGCUCCCUGGAAUCCCCGAGGCUGGAAAAGCCCUUUGUGAUGCUGGAAUGCCCCCAAGCAAACCUUCCCAAGCUGGGAGCAAAGCAGCGGCAGGGAGGGAAGUGCUGGGAAGGGUUUUCUCCCAGCUCUGGCCAGCCUCAAGGCAGGGGUGGUUUUUAAAUGUUUUGAAUGCUGCAGCAGCUCCCUCCCUGUGUGAGAGCUGCCUCGGCCCGGGGCAGUGUCUGACCCCAGGUCUUGGAAGCUGUGUGGAGAUUCCUCCCUGGAGCAGGGUCACCCCGUGAGGAUGAGCCACAGGGAUUCAGUCGUUGGACCAGUCUUCUCUCGGCUUUUUGUGCCACAGGGGAUCUGACCCCAGAGCCAUAGAGGGUGUCUGCUGCCUGGAUAAAUGUCAAUGAAAUUUGCCAAGUCUGACAGGAAAGCAGAAACGUCCUGGGGGUUGUUUGGCCAAAGACAGAACACGAAGAUGUCCGUACCAGCAGUGGGUGUGAGUGCUGCCAGUUUUGGCUUGUCUGGUGCCUCUGGUCCCUCAGAAGUCAGGGCAAGGCUGAAGCAAGGAGCAAAGCUGCAGGACAGGAAAAAUCAUCUAACUCCUCCCAUCUUUGCCAAAAGCUUCGGUGUCUAAGCAGCCAAAGCCAAGAGGCUUCAGCACCAGGGGUCUGCGCUGGAGGGCUCCUGGUCCUGCCCAGGCUGUGGGUGAGCCAGGGCUGGCACAAGGACUCGUGCAGGUCCUGGUCUGGCGCCGGAGCUGCUGCCCUUUGGAGCCAUUUUAAAGGUACAAUUAUAGAACAUUUCGGAGGCUGUUUCCAGAAUUCCACGUGCAGCUGGAUCUUGCUCCAAGUGCAGCAGCCAGGCUGUCCCGCUGCAGCACCCUGGCCCCUGCCGUGCCCGAGACACAGAGAGCCCUGGCCAGAGCUGUUGGCACUGCCAGUAACCAAGGAUGGCACUGGUGUGGGUUCAGAAGGAUUUAUUGCUCGCGUGGACAUCAGCUCAGAGGCCCCGAGACUUUAAAGGAGUAAGUAGCUGGCUAUAGUGCAAGAGUUUCUUCAUGACAAGGCAAUGCAUACCUUUCUAACCCAAGGGACAGCUGCCACAGGGGUUAUUUUGCUUUUCUAACCCACCACCUUUACUGAACUCUGCUGCACUGUGGGUGCCUCUGCUCAGCAGGCUUCUGUCUCGCUGGCACACGUGCUCUGUGGCAAUUCUGAGCUCCUCGCCUCUACACACCCACACCCUCGCAGCACAGACCCUUCUCCAUCCCACCCUUCAUUUCUCACUGAUUUAAAGCACUCUCUUACUUACAACCAUAGAACCAGAAGUUUAUGAUUCCUCUGCUUGAGGUCCGUCUGUUGGAUUUCUGCAUCAAUCCAAGCUUCUUCCAAGGCCGCAGAUCAAAUCUUCUAGUGUCUCUGGAAGUUUCUGCUUUUCCAAUUCCCACAUCUCUCCUCCCUCUCUGCAUUAAGAAAUUUUUAUUAGUGCAUCUGUUAAGCACUGGUAAUAAAUAUUUAUGUAAAUAAUGUGUUAUUAUUAGUAGUAGCAUUAUUAUAAUAAUUGAAAUGCACAAUUUUGUUAUUUUUUAAAUUAUGGUGUUUAAAUUUAUUUAUUAAACAAAUUAAGUUUUAUUAUUUAUUCUUAAUAUAUUUUAGAGUUGUGUAUUUUUAUAAAGAUAUUUUGAGGGAUUAGAUAAUUUUAUAUAUUUAUUAAAAAUUUUUAUCUUUAUAUUUGUGUGUUAAGAAAAUUUAUUGUUUUGUAAAACUGCAUGUUGAAUAUUUUUAAUAUCUGUUAAAAAGUUAUUUAAUGUAAGGGAUGUAGUAUUAGAUUGUUUCCUUAGAUAAUAUUUUCAUUUAUUUAAUUGUUUUAGUGUUGCUGUU